rnacentral:tRNA from 1 species
ACGUUUUUAGUUUAAUGGUAAAACAGGUCGUUUCAACCGACCUAACAUAGGUUCGAAUCCUAUAAAACGUU